rnacentral:lncRNA from 12 species
GGGCGCUGAGAAGUAGGUCCUUAUUAAUAGUUAGGCGCGGGGAUCCACAGCCCUUUACGUGGACAGCCCCACCUCCAAGCGGUCGCUGAACUAUUACGGUUGUGUCUCGUUCAUUCCCAGGCCGAGGGGCCGAGGGUACAGCCCCGGGGAUCAAUGCGCACACACACACACACACACACACACACACACACACACCUCGGUGCAUAAGAGCCCAGGCGCAUCUGAACAUCUCCCGUAUGGGCGGGCUGAUUUACACAUCCCCACUCGAUGGUGCGGUCACUUUUCAUCUCUUAGCAAAGGCCAACAUCAAUUUUUACUGUGAAGACCGAGAUAAGCUAUGAUGGCCUCACACCCUUUUCCCCCUGUCACCCUGCAUAUUUAGUGGAUUUUGAUCUCUUUUUAUCCCAUAUAAACUGGGGAAGAUAUGGACCGCUACUUUCUGUCAUUUUUUAAAAUAAACAUCCCUUUGUCACCUACCAUAUCUUAAGAUGUGUACCUGCCCAAGGAUUCGGUGAUGUUCCAGAGCAGCAGACUGGGAGGAGGCAGAGAAUGCUGGACCUCGGCCCCAACCCCCAACAAAUGCCUGUUUUGGCAGAGGAGAGAUGCCCAGGGAAGAUGCAUUCCUGCGACUUCCUGCCAUAGUGCGAUCCUCCAAGUCUCCUUGUCGUGCAUGAAGUCCUGCCCUUCCCUCCGUGGUCAUUGUCACAUCAGACUGGGUUGGAUGUGCCCAGAUUCUGGGAGAAACAGCACCACUUUGCCUGCCACUGGGAAGUUCAGCUGGGCCGAUUGGUGAUCCAUGGUAACCUUGACUGCAGGAAGGACUCAGCAGGCCGGGAUCCAGAAGUGACCUGCUGGCUCUGUCAGUACCGCUGGACAAACAGCUGGGCUGGAGACAACACACUCAAGGAAUGUUUUCUCAGCCUGGCCCAGGGAGGCUGCACAUCUGUCCUGGCUUGUUGACCUGCUUUCUGCAGCCAACAGAGGAGAUGAGUCCAGCAGAGAUGGAGGCCAUAAAUCAAUGGAGCGCGAGCCCGGGGCGCCUCCCUCGGGCUGGAGUCCUGCCCUCUGCUCCCUGGACCGCCUGCCUAAGGAGGACCCCAAGGCCCAGUUGGCCUGGACACCCAUUUAAAGGCAACUUUCUUGCUCAUCAGGGUGUUUGCUGUCAGGGCUGCAGAGGAGAGGUUGUGUACUAUGGGAACAGCACCCGGAGAAGCCAAGUUCAGUGGCUGAUGCAAAACACCACCUAA